UUGGAGGGCAAGUCUGGUGCCAGCAGCCGCGGUAAUUCCAGCUCCAAUAGCGUAUAUUAAAGUUGUUGCAGUUAAAAAGCCCGUGGUUGAACUUCAGGCCUGGCUGGGUGGUCUGCCUAACGGCAUUGUACUGCUCGGCUGGGUCUUACCUCUUGGUGAGCCAGCAUGCCCUUCACUGGGUGUGUUGGGGAACCAGGACUUUUACCUUGAGAAAAUUAGAGUGUUCAAAGCAGGCAUUUGCUCGAAUACAUUAGCAUGGAAUAAUAGAAUAGGACGUGCGGUUCUAUUUUGUUGGUUUUUAGAGUCGCCGUAAUGAUUAAUAGGGAUAGUUGGGGGCAUUUGUAUUGCGUUGCUAGAGGUGAAAUUCUUGGAUUUACGCAAGACAAACUACUGCGAAAGCAUUUGCCAAGGAUGUUUUCAUUAAUCAAGGACGAAGGUUAGGGGAUCGAAAACGAUCAGAUACCGUUGUAGUCUUAACAGUAAACUAUGCCGACUAGGGAUCGGACGACCUCACAUUGAUGUGUCGUUCGGCGCCUUACGGGAAAC
rnacentral:rRNA from 1 species